rnacentral:rRNA from 1 species
CCUACGGGGGGCAGCAGUGGGGAAUAUUGGACAAUGGGGGGAACCCUGAUCCAGCCAUGCCGCGUGUGUGAAGAAGGCCCUCGGGUUGUAAAGCACUUUCAGUGAGGAAGAACGCCUGGUGGUUAAUACCCAUCAGGAAAGACAUCACGCACAGAAGAAGCACCGGCUAACUCCGUGCCAGCAGCCGCGGUAAUACGGAGGGUGCGAGCGUUAAUCGGAAUUACUGGGCGUAAAGCGCGCGUAGGUGGCUUGAUAAGCCGGUUGUGAAAGCCCCGGGCUCAACCUGGGAACGGCAUCCGGAACUGUCAAGCUAGAGUGCAGGAGAGGAAGGUAGAAUUCCCGGUGUAGCGGUGAAAUGCGUAGAGAUCGGGAGGAAUACCAGUGGCGAAGGCGGCCUUCUGGACUGACACUGACACUGAGGUGCGAAAGCGUGGGUAGCAAACAGGAUUAGAUACCCGGGUAGUC